rnacentral:lncRNA from 1 species
GUCUUACAGGGGCUUUUAUUUAGAAAAACAUCUGCAUAAUGUUAGAUUCUACUCCCGUCUACAUUAUGCACCUCAUAAUUGGAUUUCAUUAUGAUUUUGAAAUGCUUAUAUGCCUGUUAAGUAAGUUAAACUAUUUAAUUUGUUUGAAUGUUUUAGAUUGCUACAUAAUACAAUAUUCUAAAUUUAGGCAUGAGGGUUUAUUUUUGUUUCUUUUUGUUUUGUCAGCACACUAUGGAACACAAAUGAAAUUCUCUUAAUUUAUAAGAAGAAGUAGGAAUUAAAUUUUGAAAAUGGUUGUAAUGAGCCAUGAAGUUCAAUUCUUAUAGGUACUGCUCUUUCAGACAAAUAGUCCAUUUUUGAUGACUUCUUAUUUUGUUGAAAUUGUUUUAACUGCUAAUCACUGUGGUUGCCAAAUACUUGAGGAGCAAGGAUUUUCAAGCAAGCAUGCACUUGAUGCAAAAUACAAAUCUGGCUUCUAUUUUCAUAAAUUAUUUAGUUUCUACUAUGUUUUAUUUCACUCAGAUUAGCUCAGUUUUCACAUCAAAGCAGAACUGUAUCUUGUAUCUAUUUUUUUUUUAUUACAAGACCUGUGAACUGCUUUCAUGCUGAAAAUGCUCAUUUCUCUGUUCACUUCUUGACAUGUGAAGAAGGGUUUAUUGCUUUUUUAAACAUUUCUUUAAGGCUGGUUUAAAAAAUGUAAAACUUCAGAGACUGGAUGACUGGUUUUUAGCAGGAGUAGAUUUUGCUUGGUGUAUCCAGGCACUCUGUAAGGUCUAAUGUUGAAAUUAUCAAAGGAAUGUACUUCAGAAAAGCAGUACAUUAUAAUGUAGAUGCGGAAAUGAUUUUAAGAAAUGGAUAUAUUAAAACUACUUUUUAUUUACAUGAUUUUGAAAUUGACUAGAAAGCUCUUCCCAUAGAUAUUAAUAUUCUAAUCAUAACUUUAAUUCAAAAAUAUGAUUCUAUCAAAAGAAAAUUUUGACAGUUUUAUUCAGGUUACUAGAAUUGGUUAUUUAAAAAAAAAAGAAAAAAGAAGAAUCCUGCUGCUUUCAGUAUUUCCUGAUUUCAUAUUUGUAAAUAUUAAGAGGAACUUCAAUUAUGAAAUAUUUUAAAAAGUGCAAGACCUUUUCAACAAAAUAGUGUUUGUCAUCAGUUUGGUACUAAACAUUUAUAAUUACUGUGUAAUUAUAAACAAAACAAUACAUAAAGCUUUGAAUAUAAUUAUGUAGCAUAAAAGUUAAGGUUGUUAACUCUAUGAUGGCAUCUU